rnacentral:rRNA from 1 species
UAAGACGUAGGGCGCAAGCGUUGUCCGGAUUUAUUGGGCGUAAAGAGCUCGUAGGCGGCUCAUUGCGUCGCCCGUGAAAACCUGGGGCUCAACUUCAGGAUUGCGGGCGAUACGGGUGGGCUGGAGUUCGGUAGGGGAGACUGGAAUUCCUGGUGUAGCGGUGAAAUGCGCAGAUAUCAGGAGGAACACCGGUGGCGAAGGCGGGUCUCUGGGCCGAUACUGACGCUGAGGAGCGAAAGCGUGGGGAGCGAACAGGAUUAGAUACCCUGGUAGUCCACGCUGUAAACGUUGGGCGCUAGGUGUGGGGGGCCUCUCCGGUUUCCUGCGCCGUAGCUAACGCAUUAAGCGCCCCGCCUGGGGAGUACGGCCGCAAGGCUA